rnacentral:lncRNA from 1 species
AAAUCCCUGUCCUGUUAUGUUCCGUUCUGAUACCGGUGCAUGCAGCCCCCAGUCACGUACCCCUGCUUGCUCAAUGGGUCACAACCCUCUCACGCAGACCCCCUUAGUUGUAAAGGGACAGGAAUUGUUCACUCGGGGAGCUCGGUUUUGUAAGUCUGCCGAUGCUCCUGGCAGAAUAAAGCCCUUUCCUUCCUCAACUCGGUGUCUGAGGGGUUUUGUCUGCAGCUAGUCCUGCUACAUUUCUUGGUUCCCUGACCUGGAAGCGAGGUGAUUACCGGGCGGUGGAGGCAACUGCUUAGGAGGCUUAGGCCUGCCUUGUGGAACAUCCCUGCGGGGGACUCCUGCCGGCUUUAGUGAAUCCUGAGAGUGCUUUCAGCUGGGUAAUUGCCCUGGUGGAACGCCUCGCCAGAGCAGCGCACGGUAGGCCCCCGCGGAGGAUUAACGCAGCGGCUGAACAGCGGGAAGGAAUCGGCGCUUGGAGUCCAGACAUCUGGAACACGCUCUUGAACAUCAGAUUCCAGGUUCUGCAGCCUUUGGACUCUUGGACUUAGACCAGUGGUUUGCCGGGGGAUCUCAGAUCUUCAGCCACAUACUGAAGUCUGCACUGUUGGCUUCCCUACUUUUGAGGCUUUGGAACUCUGACUGAGCAACUACUGGCUUCGUUGCUCCUCAGCUUGCAGGUGGCCUAUCGUGGGACUUCACCUUGUGAUCACGAGCAAAUGAGUGAUGCCAACAGGAAAUGACGUGGAAAGAGAUGACUUCUUUGGAGCAGCCAUGAUGGAGUUAGAAAGGAGUUGGAGGAUGAGCAGGGCCUGGGAGUCCCUCAUCGCUCAGACUGUACUGAUACAGGAGUCUCUCAGAAAGACAACAUUUUCUCCUCCUAAAGGAAGCAGGGUAAAUGUUUUUAUAUUCUAGAUUUCACAUACCUUCAAAAGACAUUUGUGCAUCUAAGAGACACACCUCUAUGUAAACACAGGAAAAUUUAAA